rnacentral:rRNA from 1 species
AUUGAACGCUGGCGGCAGGCUUAACACAUGCACGUCGAACGAGUGGCGGACGGGUGAGUAAUGCUUGGGAAUCUGGCUUCUGUAUGGGGAUAACGACGGGAAACUGUCGCUAAUACCUCGUACCAUAGGAUGAGCCCAAAUGGGAUUAGGUCGUUGGUGGGGUAAUGGCCUACCAAGCCGACGAUCUCUAGCUGGUCUGAGAGGAUGACAAGCCACACUGUGACUGAGACACGGCCCGGACUCCUACGGGAGGCAGCAGUGGGGAAUAUUGCGCAAUGGGGGCAACCUGACGCAGCCAUGCCGCGUGAAUGAAGAAGGCCUUCGGGUUGUAAAGUUCUUUCGGUGACGAGGCGUUAAUCACAGAAGAAGCACCGGCUAACUCCGUGCCAGCAGCCGCGGUAAUAC